rnacentral:rRNA from 1 species
AUUGAACGCUGGCGGCAGGCUUAACACAUGCAAGUCGAGCGGAGUGAUGGUGCUUGCACUAUCACUUAGCGGCGGACGGGUGAGUAAUGCUUAGGAAUCUGCCAUUUAGUGGGGGACAACAUUCCGAAAGGAAUGCUAAUACCGCAUACGUCCUACGGGAGAAAGCAGGGGAUCUUCGGACCUUGCGCUAAAUGAUGAGCCUAAGUCGGAUUAGCUAGUUGGGGGGGUAAAGGCCUACCAAGGCGACGAUCUGUAGCGGGUCUGAGAGGAUGACCCGCCACGCUCGAACUGAGACACGGCCAGGCUCCUACGGGAGGCAGCAGUGGGGAAUAUUGUACAAUGGGCGGAAGCCUGAUCCGGCCAUGCCGCGUGUGUGAAGAAGGCCUUUUGGUUGUAAAGCACUUUAAGCGAGGAGGAGGCUCUUCUAGUUAAUACCUAGGAUGAGUGGACGUUACUCGCAGAAUAAGCACCGGCUAACUCUGUGCCAGCCGCCGCAGUAAUAC